rnacentral:pre_miRNA from 2 species
CAGUCUGCAGGUGCAGCGGCAUCAAGAUUCACACUGCCUAAUCAGCUAGGACUUCAUGACUGUACACGCUUAUACAUACAUAUAUAUACAUGUACGUUGGCUCUUUGUGGACGAGUGUGGAAUGAAUAAAGUUCUAUUUUAGAUGUGGGAAUCUUGAUGAUGCUGCAUCAGCAAAUAC